GCUAGUAAUGGCAGGUCAGCAUACUGCCGUGAAUACGUUCCCGGGCCUUGUACACACCGCCCGUCACACCAUGAGAGUUGGGGAUACCCGAAGCCUGUGAGCCAACAGUUAAAUGAGGCAGCAGUCGAAGGUAGAAUCAAUGAUUGGGGUGAAGUCGUAACAAGGUAUC
rnacentral:rRNA from 1 species